rnacentral:lncRNA from 1 species
UUCACAUAUUGGAUUAAAAUAUAACUACAAAAUAAAUGAAGUAAUCAAGUUAAUCGCAAAGAAGUGGAAAAAAUCUAUUUUGACUUACUGCACUUUAUAACUUUCACAUAAUACAUUAUGAUUCCAAAUCAGAAUUUUAAUAUGCCAUAGUGAAAUAUACUUUCACUUACAAUUUGGAAGAUCCUCUAUGUUAAAAUGAUAUUCAUACCAAUAUUUCCAAUUGAAUUUCAAAAUACCAAUAUUUUGGUAACAGUGAAAAAUAAAUUAACGCUUCACAUAUCGGAUUAAAAUAUGACUACAAAAUAAAUUAAGUAAUCAAGUUAAUUGCAAAGGAGUG